rnacentral:piRNA from 1 species
UCUGAACCUAAGUGUGGCUGAUCAGGGA